AGAUGCUAUAAACUCUAACAAUCCAGCUUUUCACUCUCCUAAAUUCCUAAUUCUCUGUUUCUCUCUCCUUCGCUACUCUACUAUUUUUUUUCAUGCUUUGCUACUUCAACAAUUGAAGGAGAAGUUCAAGAUGUCAUCUUUCUUUAGGUGAGUGGUUCAAUUCUUCUGGGCUUUUCUAGAUCUAUAUUUUUGAGUUCUGUUCUCUUUUUAUGUUUAUAUUUAGUUCAUGAAUUCUGUUUUUGUUUCUCCGAUUUUACGUUAUGCUUGCUACAAUCUUCUAGCAUCUACUGUGUUUGUAAAAGUCUGGUAAGUUUUUCCCCCUAUUUUUUUUAUUUCUUGCACCGUUUUCUGGCUUUCACUUAUAGAUUUCUUUGAAAUUUCUGUGUAUUUUUUGUUUGAUGUUGGUUUCUCUGCUCUUUUAAAUAAUUUCUUGCAAGAUUUCUACAUGCAUGUCUUGUAUUUUAUUUGAUUUUGAUAUUCAUGUUUGGAAAGAAAUACCUAGGUGCGUGUCCUUAAACUAAAUGAUUUUGGGGUAGUGGUGGUUUUUCACGUUACAGCCAUAGUCUUGAAUUAACCCUAUGCAUUUUAUAGAAUCAGGCCAUUUAACAUUGCUCGGGAUAUAGAUUACAGAGUAGCUUUGAAGGAAAGUGUUCUUAUCAUACAUGACAUGACUGUCAAUUAUGUAGAAGGAGAAAUGUUGAUACAUGCAGUAUAAGGAUUUAAAUCCUGGAUCCGCCUCUGCUGGAGAUAAUGCAUAGGAAAGAAAAAAGAAGCUAAGCAGUUAUCCCGAUGAUGAGAAUCCUAAGGCGAUGGAAUGCAGGGUUUUCUUCUGGCCAACAGGCCAAGGAAAACUACUUGAUAGUGCUUGAUGGGUGGCUCAUAUAGAGAGAAGUGGAGGGUACCUGUGGUUGCACUCACGCUGGUCUCAUUAUUCCUGAGAAAUAUCCUGAGGAAACGACUACACGAAGACAAUCUCAUAACUUAAGGAGUGUACUUGAUCCAAAUGAUUUGAUGAUAUCAAGAUUUGAACGGCUCGGAGGUCAAUUCAAGCAAGAAGGCGAU